AAAGUGGACAGUUUACCUAAGUGUUCACUCUUGGAGCUGAACAUCAUUUAACCAUUUUUGAAGCCACGCUACCUUGCAAAUUCUGGUUAAUUGCUCAACUGUGAGUAGUAAUGUUAGAAAAGCUGAAAUUAGUAAAGUAACUCAGGAAAGUAGGUCCAAAAAGUAAAGACCAAGGAAGUUGACAGAAGUUUCCAAAUGACACAAGUAAUGGAGAAAGAACUUAAACCUUGAUCUGAUUAAGGCCUUGAGAAGAAAGUUUUCCUGUGAAGCAUUAGUUAAUAUCACACUCUUAAAGGAAUAUAUGAAUAUUUUGACCAUCACACUUCCAGAACUGGAGGCCGCUGGGAGAGCAGUAGUAUUUAAUUAAGGCUGCUAUAAAAUUGUCUUUUGAACUGCAUGAAUUUCAUAAAAUGAAUUGGGAAACACCAGAGAAAUGAAGAGCUUGGAAGCUG